UGCCUAAGACAUGCAAGUCGAACGAAGUGACCCAAUGAAGUGUGCGAGCUUGCUCAAACAUGGAUUUGGAUUCUCACUUAGUGGCGCAAGGGUGAGUAACACAUGGGUAAUCUGCCUUUAAGUCUGGAAUAACAGUUAGAAAUGAUUGCUAAUGCCGGAUAAUAUGUGGAAUGAUAAUUCUUUCUUUAUUAAAAGGGGCUUUCAAGCCUCGCUUAAAGAUGAGCCUGUGGCGUAUUAGCUAGUUGGUAGGGUAAUGGCCUACCAAGGCGACGAUGCGUAGCCGACCUGAGAGGGUGAUCGGCCACACUGGGACUGAGACACGGCCCAGACUCCUACGGGAGACAGCAGUUAGGAAUAUUCGUCAAUGGGGGAAACCCUGAACGAGCAAUGCCGCGUGAAGGAAAGACGGUCCUAUGGAUUGUAAACUUCUGUUGUUAGGAAAGAACGACCUGUAUAGGAAAUGAUACAGGAGUGACGGUACCUUUCAAGAAAGCUCCGGCUAACUACGUGCCAGCAGCUGC
rnacentral:rRNA from 1 species